CUCAGUGCGUAGUUAACCUUGGGAGUGGGAGGCUGUGCGCGGGUGCUGUCCAAAAGAAUUGCCCUGUGUUGAUCUCCCUUUCUCUCCCUUCCUCUCCCUCCCUCCUUCCCUCCCUUAGCCAUGGAGAAGGGUUUGCUCAAGGUGACGGCCCUUGGAGGAAAAAUGGGAGGGGAUUUGAAGGCUCUUGGAGGAAAAGCCGGAUUUGGAGGAAAGAAAAGUGGAGGAGGAGGAGGAGGAGGAAAGAAAGGUGGAAGUGGAGGAGGAGGAGGAAAUAGUGGAGGGCUUGGAGGCUUCAUGGGAGGUGGAUUCAAAGGCCUUGGAGGGAAGAAUAGUGGAGGAGGAGGAGGAGCUGGAGGAAAAGGAGGAGGGGGAGGUAACUCUUCCUCCACUUCUGGGCUUGGAGGAAAAUUUGCAGGGUUUAAAGGACUUGGAGGAAAUAAGAAUAGUGGAGGAGGAGCAGGAGCGGGAGGAAGAGGAGGAGGAGGAGGGGGAGGAGCGGGAGGAAGAGGAGGAGGAGGAGGAGGAGGAAUGAAGGGGCUGCCGGGUCUCAUGUCACUCGGGAAAAAACGAACGUUAGAACUGAGGAAGACAAAAUAAGAACAUAGAGGGAGAGAAACCCCCCCAAAAAAACCACUUCCUUUCAUCUCUCCAUCCAAACCAAACCUUCCUCCAUCCUUCCUCUUCCAUCUUUCUCCGUCUCCUCGUCCUCCUCCUCUUUGCGUGAUGGUUGCUCUCGGGUCUAUCGUGGUGGUGGUGGCGGCGGUGGUGGCGGUGGCGAUGGUGGUUGGGGCGCUUGCUGCUGUCGCUCUCCACUGCUAUAAACGACGACUUCGACUCACGCACACGACUCUCUUCGACGACUCGGCCUCGCUGGGCUCCCACGAGGAAUCAAGACUCUCUUCAAGCCUCAAGACGCCUCUGCUUCGCUUCCAGAGUGUGCCGAACAUAGAUAGAAGGAAACUG